rnacentral:rRNA from 1 species
GAUGAACGCUGGCGGCGUGCCUAAUACAUGCAAGUCGAGCGAACAGAUGAGGAUCUUGCUCCUCUGACGUUAGCGGCGGACGGGUGAGUAACACGUGGAUAACCUACCUAUAAGACUGGGAUAACUUCGGGAAACCGGAGCUAAUACCGGAUAAUAUAUUGAACCGCAUGGUUCAAUAGUGAAAGACGGUUUUGCUGUCACUUAUAGAUGGAUCCGCGCCGCAUUAGCUAGUUGGUAAGGUAACGGCUUACCAAGGCAACGAUGCGUAGCCGACCUGAGAGGGUGAUCGGCCACACUGGAACUGAGACACGGUCCAGACUCCUACGGGAGGCAGCAGUAGGGAAUCUUCCGCAAUGGGCGAAAGCCUGACGGAGCAACGCCGCGUGAGUGAUGAAGGUCUUCGGAUCGUAAAACUCUUUUAUUAGGGAAGAACAAAUGUGUAAGUAACUAUGCACGUCUUGACGGUACCUAAUCAGAAAGCCACGGCUAACUACGUG